GAUGGCUUACCAUGCAAGUCGAGGGGUAACAGAUCUUCGGAUGCUGACGACCGGCGAACGGGUGAGUAACACGUAUGCAACUUACCCAUAACUCGGGAAUAGCCCAAAGAAAUUUGGAUUAAUACCCAAUAAUACAGGCGUACCGCAUGGCAUUCUUCGUUAAAGAAUAAUCGGUUAUGGAUAGGCAUGCGUUCUAUUAGGUAGUUGGUGAGGUAACGGCUCACCAAGCCGACGAUGGAUAGGGGAACUGAGAGGUUGUCCCCCCACACUGGUACUGAGACACGGACCAGACUCCUACGGGAGGCAGCAGUGAGGAAUAUUGGUCAAUGGACGAAAGUCUGAACCAGCCAAAUCGCGUGAAGGAAGAAGGUAUUAUGUAUCGUAAACUUCUUUUGUAAGAGAGUAAAGUGCACUACGUGUAGUGUAUUGCAAGUACCUUACGAAUAAGCAUCGGCUAAUUCCGUGCCAGCAGCCGCGGUAAUACGGAAGAUGCAAGUGUUAUCCGGAUUUAUUGGGUUUAAAGGGUGCGUAGGUGGUCUAAUAAGUCAGUGGUGAAAUCUCUUUGCUUAACAAGGAAAUUGCCAUUGAAACUGUUAGACUUGAGAAUGGACGAGGUAGGCAGAAUUCGUAGUGUAGCGGUGAAAUGCAUAGAUAUUACGAAGAACUCCAAUAGUGUAGACUGCUUACCAGACCAUAUCUGACACUAAGGCACGAAAGUGUGGGUAUCAAACAGGAUUAGAUACCCUGGUAGUCCACACAGUAAACGAUGGAUACUAACUGUUUGCGAUAUACAGCAAGUGGUCGAGCGAAAGCGUUAAGUAUUCCACCUGGGAAGUAUGCCGGCAACGGUGAAACUCAAAGGAAUUGACGGGGGCCCGCACAAGCGGAGGAACAUGUGGUUUAAUUCGAUAAUACGCGAGGAACCUUACCCGGGCUCGAACGAUAUUUGAAUACAUCCGAAAAGAUGUAGCUAGCAAUAGCAAAUACCGAGGUGCUGCAUGGGUUGUCGUCAGCU
rnacentral:rRNA from 1 species